rnacentral:rRNA from 1 species
GAUGAACGCUAGCGGCAGGCCUAACACAUGCAAGUCGAGGGGCAUCGUGGCGUAGCAAUACGCUGAUGGCGACCGGCGCACGGGUGCGUAACGCGUAUGGAACCUACCCACCGCAGGGGGAUAACCCGCCGAAAGGCGGACUAAUACCCCAUGGUUCCCCGACCCUGCCUGGGGUUGGGGGUAAAGCCUACGGGCGGCGGUGGAUGGCCCUGCGUGCCAUUAGCUGGCUGGUGGGGUAACGGCCCACCAGGGCGACGAUGGCUAGGGGGUCUGAGAGGACGAUCCCCCACACUGGUACUGAGACACGGACCAGACUCCUACGGGAGGCAGCAGUGGGGAAUUUUGGACAAUGGGGGCAACCCUGAUCCAGCCAUGCCGCGUGAGUGAAGAAGGCCUUCGGGUUGUAAAGCUCUUUCGGCCGGGACGAAAUCGCAUGGGUUAAUACCCUGUGUGGAUGACGGUACCGGAAUAAGAAGCACCGGCUAACUACGUGCCAGCCAGCCGCGGUAAGCACGAGAGUA